rnacentral:rRNA from 1 species
UACGGAGGGUGCGAGCGUUGUCCGGAAUCACUGGGCGUAAAGGGCGCGUAGGCGGCCCGAUAAGUAGGGGGUGAAAUCCUGCGGCUUAACCGCAGGGCUGCCUUCUAAACUGUCGGGCUAGAGCACGGUAGAGGCAGAUGGAAUUCCCGGUGUAGCGGUGGAAUGCGUAGAGAUCGGGAAGAACAUCAGUGGCGAAGGCGGUCUGCUGGGCCGUGGCUGACGCUGAGGCGCGACAGCGUGGGGAGCAAACAGG